rnacentral:rRNA from 1 species
AACGCGCAGAACCUUACCAGCGUUUGACAUCCUCAUCGCGUUUUCCAGAGAUGGAUUACUUCAGUUCGGCUGGAUGAGUGACAGGUGCUGCAUGGCUGUCGUCAGCUCGUGUCGUGAGAUGUUGGGUUAAGUCCCGCAACGAGCGCAACCCUCGCCUUUAGUUGCCAUCAUUUAGUUGGGUACUCUAAAGGAACCGCCGGUGAUAAGCCGGAGGAAGGUGGGGAUGACGUCAAGUCCUCAUGGCCCUUACACGCUGGGCUACACACGUGCUACAAUGGCGACUACAGUGGGCAGCGACCUCGCGAGGGGAAGCUAAUCUCCAAAAGUCGUCUCAGUUCGGAUUGUUCUCUGCAACUCGAGAGCAUGAAGGCGGAAUCGCUAGUAAUCGCGGAUCAGCACGCCGCGGUGAAUACGUUCCCAGGCCUUGUACACACCGCCCGUCACACCAUGGGAGUUGGAUUCACCCGAAGGCGUUGCGCUAACCCCGUAAAGGGAGGCAGGCGACNNA